ACCCCGCCUAUGCUGGCCCGCAGGUUUCCCCAGGGCUUGCUGUUGGGUGGGGCCAGUCCCUAGGGCAGGCUGCCUGCCCUGGCUGAGCUGGAUUAAAUCAGUGCUCUGGUGGGUGGGGCACACCCUGUGCUAACAGACCAGGGGAAGAACUCCCAUGGUGUCUGCCAGCAUCUGUGUCAGCGUGCCUGUACUUGGUCACAAUAAUGGCUGCCACCCAUGUCUCAGUCCCUGGAGAGCUCUCACCGAGAUGCACCCAGAGCUUAUCAGCAGGCUGCCUCCAUGUAGAGCUCCGCAGAAGCAAAUCCUUUGGAUCUGAAGAAACUGGAGAGGCUCAAAGAAGUGGAGACGGCACUGGGCUGGGCUUCAGAGCUCCGAGUGGCUUGAUUCUGCCUCACUUCCUGUGCGGCGUUAGAGGAUUUUCCCAAUUGUGAAGCAGAGGGGCGGAGCUGUAACAGGGAAGCUUUGGGGCCAGCAGAAAGUGCUCUGGUUCCUCUCUGGCCCUCGGGACCGUGGGGCUGGGAGGCAGGUGGCGCAGCUCCUCUCCAGAUAGAGCACAGCAGCAUCCCUGUAUCCCUCCCUCAGGCAGCCUGCAGCACCUUCUCGCCUUCAUUUUCUGUGCAUGCCCAUCAGUGUAGUAAAUCCUGAGAGCUUCUGCUUUUUUUUUUUUUUAAGCAAAAUAGAAUCAGAGCCUUUUGUGUUUGAAAGCCGUGUCCAUAAAUCAGUGCUCCUUGAAUGAAAAGACGUGUGUGGACCCACGAAGACAGGGCUUUGAAUUAUUUAUCAAGAACUGAUGCUACUUGGAGCCUCAGGCACACUCAGCCCUACAAAGAAACUGAGCAGCUUCUCAAGAUUUUUUUGUGGCCCUGACGGAUGAUGACAUGGGUUAAGAAACAUACACGGGGCCCCAUACCAUUUGGUCCCUACCCUGUUCUCCAGCUCCCGAAUGCCCUAAGCUGCAGCCACAUCCAGGGACUCACAGAUUCCCGGAUGCAUCAUGCUUUGCACAUACUGUUCCCUCCCCUUGGACGUCCUUUUCCACUUAUCCACCCUGCAAACUCCUAUGUGUCUGUUAAGAGCCAGCCUAAAAAUCCCCUUCUUUCAGGAAUGUUUCCCUCCUUCUCCUGUCCGGCUCAAUGUGUCUAAUAUUCCCGUGAGGGGCUCGGAUGAAGACGCCAGGGACGAAUGCUUUUCCCGACUGCAGUUGCAGGUGAGGAAACAGGCUCAGAGAGGUUAAGCAACUUGUCCAAGGUCAUACAGUGAGUGAGUGUGGAUUCGAGCCCAAUUCUCUCCGGCUCCCAGGCCUGAAAGAACCAGAAUUUGGCUGAAGCAGGAUGGCAGCGAAGGAGGAGAGGAACGGAGUAAAGGAGUGCUGAACUGCAGGAGUUUGUAGCAUCGACUCACCUCGGUGUUGGGGCAGAAUGAGCCUGGGUGAAGAUGUCUCCUGCCAGCUUGGAGUCCUGGACCGUGAGGUGGUGAUCACGUUUCUGCUCUAGACCUCCUGCCCCGCAGCAUCGGGCAGAGUAAUGAUACCUUGCACUGAGGGGGUGCAUCUUGUGCGCCAGGUGCUGUGCUGAAGGCUUCCUAGCCGUCAUCUCAGUCUCCACCACAGUCCCAACGUGGGAGGUGCUCUAUCAGCCCCAUUCUACGCGCAGGACCACUGCAGUCAGAGAAUUAAGUAGCACGUUCAUGUUCACAAAGUGAGUGGACGAGCAGGGCUUGAAGGCAGGGCUGUGGGGCCCGAAGUUCCUGCUCUGAAAUGCUUGGCCGUGCUGCCUCGUGGAGGGAGCAUGUGUGCCAAAGGUAAGGGUGGUGGGAGGUGGAGGGUCUGGAUGUGGUGACCCUCAUGGUGAGGAGUUUGAAACGUCACCAUCAUAAACAUAUGAGGGCUUAUUAC
rnacentral:lncRNA from 1 species